rnacentral:rRNA from 1 species
GACGAACCGAGCGAACGUUGUUCGGAAUCACUGGGCUUAAAGGGCGCGUAGGCGGGUGCUCAAGUCCGGGGUGAAAUCCUCCAGCUCAACUGGAGAACUGCCUCGGAUACUGGGCGUCUCGAGUGUGGUAGGGGUAUGCGGAACUAUCGGUGGAGCGGUGAAAUGCGUUGAUAUCGAUAGGAACUCCGGUGGCGAAGGCGGCAUACUGGACCACCACUGACGCUGAUGCGCGAAAGCCAGGGGAGCAAACGGG